GACGAGUGGCGAACGGGUGAGUAACGCGUAGGAAUCUGCCUUAUAGUGGGGGAUAACACUGGGAAACUAGUGCUAAUACCGCAUAAUCCCUGAGGGGGAAAGCCGUGAGGCGCUAUUAGAUGAGCCUGCGUCAGAUUAGCUAGUUGGUGGGGUAAAGGCCUACCAAGGCUGAGAUCUGUAGCUGUUCUGAGAGGAAGAUCAGCCACACUGGGACUGAGACACGGCCCAGACUCC
rnacentral:rRNA from 1 species